rnacentral:misc_RNA from 1 species
GAUGAAGAACGUAGCGAAAUGCGAUAAGUAAUGCGAAUUGCAGAAUUCCAGUGAGUCAUCGAAUCUUUGAACGCACAUUGCGCCCUUUGGUAUUCCGAAGGGCAUGCCUGUUCGAGCGUCAUUAUCACCCCUCAAGCCCUCGGCUUGGUGUUGGACGGUUUGGUGGAGGCCCCCUCGGGGGCUCCUGCCCCUCCCAAAGACAAUGACGGCGGCCUCGUUGGACCUCCGGUACACUGAGUUCUUCACGGGACACGUAUCGGACACAUGGGUUUACGGGACACGGUCUGCCUCCCCUCAGGGAGAAUCUUUCUAAGGUUGACCUCGGAUCAGGUAGGGAUACCCGCUGAACUUAAGCAUAUCAAUAAGCGGAGGA